rnacentral:rRNA from 1 species
GACGAACCGUGCGAACGUUAUUCGGAAUCAUUGGGCUUAAAGAGCGCGUAGGCGGCGUCGUAAGUUGGAGGUGAAAUCCCAUCGGCUCAACCGUGGAAGUGCCCCCAAUACUGCGAUGCUCGAGGGAGAUAGGGGCAUGUGGAACUUCCAGUGGAGCGGUGAAAUGUGUUGAGAUUGGAAGGAACGCCAGUGGCGAAAGCGACGUGCUGGACCUCUUCUGACGCUGAGGCGCGAAAGCUAGGGUAGCGAACGGGAUUAGAUACCCCGGUAGUCCUAGCCUUAAACGAUGGGUACUGGGUAGAAAGCGCUCCGAUAGCGCCUUCUGCCGUAGCGAAAGUGUUAAGUACCCCGCCUGGGGAGUAUGGUCGCAAGGCUG